ACUCAAAUGAAUAGACGGGGGCCCGCACAAGCAGCGGAGCGUGUGGUUUAAUUCGACGCGACGCGAAGAACCUUACCCAGGCUUGACAUGGCCGUGACCGGCACUGAAAGGUGCCUUUCCCGCAAGGGACACGGUCACAGGUGUUGCAUGGCUGUCGUCAGCUCGUGCCGUGAGGUGUUGGGUUAAGUCCCGCAACGAGCGCAACCCCCGUGUCUAGUUAGGCUGUCUAGACAGACUGCCGGCAGAGAGUCGGAGGAAGGCGGGGAUGACGUCAAGUCAGCAUGGCCCUUACGUCUGGGGCUACACACACGCUACAAUGGCCGGUACAAAGGGCAAGCGAGGCCGCGAGGCGGAGCAAAUCCCAUCAAAGCCGGUCUCAGUUCAGAUUGCAGGCUGCAACUCGCCUGCAUGAAGGAGGAGUUGCUAGUAACUGCCGGUCAGCACACGGCGGUGAAUAUGUUCCCGGGCCUUGCACACACCGCCCGU
rnacentral:rRNA from 1 species